rnacentral:rRNA from 1 species
GACGAACGCUGGCGGCGUGCCUAACACAUGCAAGUCGAACGGGAUCCACGCCAUGAAGUUUUCGGAUGGAUUGGUGUGGUGAGAGUGGCGAACGGGCGAGUAACGCGUGAGCAACCUACCUCGUACUGGGGGAUAACGUCGGGAAACCGGCGCUAAUACCGCAUAAGACUACGAUGCCGCAUGGCAAUGUAGUCAAAGCUCCGGCGGUACGAGACGGGCUCGCGUCCGAUUAGCUAGUUGGUAGGGUAACGGCCUACCAAGGCGACGAUCGGUAGCCGGACUGAGAGGUCGGCCGGCCGCAUUGGGACUGAGACACGGCCCAGACUCCUACGGGAGGCAGCAGUGGGGAAUAUUGCGCAAUGGGGGAAACCCUGACGCAGCGACGCCGCGUGAAGGAAGAAGGCCUUCGGGUUGUAAACUUCUUUGAUCGGGGACGAAGGAAGACGGUACCCGAGGAACAAGCCACGGCUAACUACGUG